rnacentral:rRNA from 1 species
UACGUAGGGUGCGAGCGUUGUCCGGAAUUAUUGGGCGUAAAGAGCUCGUAGGCGGUUUGUCGCGUCGGAUGUGAAAGCCCGGGGCUUAACCCCCGGGUCUGCAUUCGAUACGGGCAGACUAGAGUUCGGUAGGGGAGAUCGGAAUUCCUGGUGUAGCGGUGAAAUGCGCAGAUAUCAGGAGGAACACCGGUGGCGAAGGCGGAUCUCUGGGCCGAUACUGACGCUGAGGAGCGAAAGCGUGGGGAGCGAACAGG